AUGAAUGUUGCUACUGGGGUGAAGGAGAACAUCCAGCUCAUGGAGGGGGGCUUCACAUGGUCGCCGAUCCAAUACCUUGAUUGUCGUGAGGCGCUCGUGUGGAAGUGCAAGAUGGACUACGAGGAAUCGCAGAAGUACAAGGAAUGGAAGUUCAUAUUUGAGAAGGAAAAUAUUGUACAUGAGAAUUGGUAG
rnacentral:rRNA from 1 species